AUGUUUAGGCAAGAGCGCAGCACAUUGGUCAACAGAACUGAUGAUUUUUACAAUACAAAUCUCUCGUUAGGAAGGCCAAGCAGUUUCCGUGGAAAAGAAAAUGUACCACCAAAGAGGAUUGUCCAACCAAGCAGGUACCGUAGCUCACCAUACGACUGCAGCGAGAGGGGACCAAUAAUGCCACAUGAGAGAAAGAUGUAUGAGAACAUAACAUCCUUGGCCAAUGUUGAAGGAUCCAAACCUGCAGUUUUGAUUGACAAAACCAUCGUCACAUUUGGACAGUUGGGUAACUCGAUAAAAAUAGGUGGCCGGGUCCAGGCCUAUGUCAUAAAUGUGUACUGCACGCACCUAUUUAAUGAAAAUCAUCCUAGGAACUCACUCAAGCACUAUUUCUUCCACACUGCAUCUGAAUAUUUCCUGGGCAAAUGGAAAAAUGAUGAGGCAAGAAUUUGGUGGAGGAAGAAAUUGGUUACAAGUUUCAUUGGAGCUGGAAGAGCACAUAAUCUUUCGAUGUCAGACAAGUUGUACUUUCCAACACUACAUGAGGAACAUUACUUUUUGUUCGUCGUCGACAUCAAGGGUCGCACGUUUUAUUUUCUGGAUUCUUUCUAA
rnacentral:rRNA from 1 species